rnacentral:lncRNA from 1 species
CCCUAUAAUUGAUCUUAUUUAAUAACCUGUUGAAUAAGUUACUAAUGUCUAGAGCCGAACAUAUCCUUCAAAAUUAAAUGGUUAAAUUUAAAUAAGCUGGCGUAUUGAAGUAUUUCUCUAAUUAAUUAUGGGGCUUCUAUAUAGCCUCAUUGUGCAAAUUAAUAUAUAGGCUCACUAAUUUUUCAAACUCCUUUAGUUCAGCUUAGAUAAAAGGCACACUAAUAAAU